AUUGAACGCUGGCGGCAUGCCUUACACAUGCAAGUCGAACGGCAGCGGACCUUCGGGUGCCGGCGAGUGGCGAACGGGUGAGUAAUAUAUCGGAACGUACCUUUCAGUGGGGGAUAACGUAGCGAAAGUUACGCUAAUACCGCAUAUUCUGUGAGCAGGAAAGCAGGGGAUCGCAAGACCUUGCGCUGAUUGAGCGGCCGAUAUCAGAUUAGCUAGUUGGUGAGGUAAAGGCUCACCAAGGCGACGAUCUGUAGCGGGUCUGAGAGGAUGAUCCGCCACACUGGAACUGAGACACGGUCCAGACUCCUACGGGAGGCAGCAGUGGGGAAUUUUGGACAAUGGGCGCAAGCCUGAUCCAGCCAUGCCGCGUGAGUGAAGAAGGGCCUCGGUUGU
rnacentral:rRNA from 1 species